rnacentral:siRNA from 1 species
GGGAACCUAAAUAACGACUCCUCA